GUAUUUUAAUUCAGAUAAAAAAUCGAAAUAUUAGAUGAAAAUUCGUUGAGGGGCAUAAAUGGUAUCAUCUUUUUACUGAAUACCGUCCAAAAAUAACUCCCGAAAAUCACUCCAUUUACCAACCACUCCCACCACGUCUAGGCAUACAGAAACGUUGACUCCUCAUCUACAGAGCAGCAGCGGCGAUUCCACUCUAGUAGUUUUCGACGGCGGCUUGAAUCGUGUAAUUUCCGGCGACGCUCCAUGAAAAGAGUAUUUGGGCAAUCCCGGUAAUCCCCUGUCAUCGCCUCUACAUCACCCGCCACCACCCCAUUCUCGUCGUCGGUUGCGGCAAUUCCGAUAUGGUUAUAGAUGUACAAGAUAUGAGUGCCUUUGACACGGGAUCUUUUGCUGCUGACUGCUAUUAUAGAUGAAGGUAGUAUUUUUUGCCAUGAUGUAUUUAUCUUUAAAAACAAUGUUUGCAGUAUUUUCUGAUGCUUUUCGAUGCAUUCUUCCAUGAAUACUGGACUCUCUUUUGGUGAGUUAUCUAUAUUAUUUUAGGUGUUUUCUUUUCAGACUUGUUAUUAGUAAGAAUAAAUAUUUCUCUUUUUCCUUUUCAACUUCAAAUCCUUUGCCCAUUUUCUAAUUCUCUUGUUGCUUUAUCAAAUUCACUCUUCCAAUAAGUUGAAGCAGCUGAUGACAAACUAUAGGGUACUCAAGGAUAAGGGAGUACAUGUUCUGGGCUGAAAAUGCAACAUAUUUAGUAAACGACCACAACAAUUCUCAAGGAUGCGCAUACAGUAUUGUGCAUCCAUUUUGGCGUGCAUGGGAGGAAAAUGAGGUGAAAAAGGCCGUUGUGGACAAAGCUUCACAUACUUUUGGAGAAAUGUACAAGGAUCCAAAAUUCAAUGUAAAUUCGACGCUACUAGGGUAAAAUUUGGGCACGGAAGAGUCCCAUAAAAAAAUUUAUAUUUUUUUGAUGAUUGAAGUCAUUUGAAACAUAUGUUUUAGAUGAUACAAUAAAGUCUGAAUUUUGUGUCAAUUGAUUUUGUUUGACUUCCAUUGGUUUGUGAUGUGAAAUUGUAGAAUUAUAA